CCAGUUGGCCGGGCAGCCGCGCUUUAUCAAUGCCGAAAGGCGAUGAGGUGAGGAAAGUCCGGGCUCCACGGAAACACGGUGCCGGAUAACGUCCGGCGAGGGUAACCUCAGGGAAAGUGCCACAGAAAGCAAACCGCCCGAUUUGAUCGGGUAAGGGUGAAAGGGUGGGGUAAGAGCCCACCGCGUCUCUGGCAACAGCGACGGCACGGAAAACCCCACCGGGAGCAAAACCGAAUAGGGAUGACGCGGGACGCGCAGGCGCCCCAGCCCGUUUCCGGGCCGGUCAUCCGGGUGGGUUGCACGAGGCGUCGCGCAAGCGCCGUCCCAGAUGAAUGGCUGCCACGUUCCGGUCACGGCCGGAGCCAUACAGAACCCGGCUUACAGGCCAACUGGCAAA
rnacentral:RNase_P_RNA from 1 species